rnacentral:rRNA from 1 species
AGAGUUUGAUCAUGGCUCAGGACGAACGCUGGCGGCGUGCUUAAUACAUGCAAGUCGAGCGAGGUUACUGUUUUGGAUCCCUUUCGGGGUGAAGAAGCUUUAACCUAGCGGCGGACGGGUGAGUAACGCGUGGGUAACCUACCCCAAAGUCCGGGAUAACAGCGGGAAACCGCUGCUAAUACCGGAUGCCUUUACCUUGGGGCAUCUUUAGGUAAAGAAAGGUAACGCUUUGGGAUGGGCCCGCGUCCCAUUAGCUAGUUGGUGAGGUAACGGCUCACCAAGGCGACGAUGGGUAGCCGGCCUGAGAGGGUGGACGGCCACACUGGGACUGAGACACGGCCCAGACUCCUACGGGAGGCAGCAGUAAGGAGUUUUCGGCAAUGGGGGAAACCCUGACCGAGCAACGCCGCGUGAGUGAUGAAGGUCCUUUGGAUUGUAAAGCUCUGUUGUAAGCCAUGAAUGGUAGCUAUAGGAAAUGAUAGUUACUUGGCGACAGCUUACCAGAAAGCCACGGCUAACUACGUGCCAGCAGCCGCGGUAAUACGUAGGUGGCAAGCGUUAUCCGGAAUUAUUGGGCGUAAAGAGUGAGCAGGCGGCUGAAUAAGUCUGAAGUCAAAUCGUGGGGCUCAACCCCAUUUCGCUUUGGAAACUGUUUGGCUAGAGUACGGCAGAAGUGAAGGGAACUCCAUGUGUAGCGGUGAAAUGCGUAGAUAUAUGGAAGAACACCAGUGGCGAAGGCGCUUCACUAGGCCGAAACUGACGCUCAGUCACGAAAGCGUGGGUAGCAAAUAGGAUUAGAUACCCUAGUAGUCCACGCCGUAAACGAUGAUAACUAAAUAUUGCCGCGAGGCAGUGUUGAAGCUAACGCAUUAAGUUAUCCGCCUGGGGAGUACGGUCGCAAGACUGAAACUCAAAGGAAUUGACGG